AGAAUCUGGUGGAUGCUGGACCUUGCUGCUGCUGCUACUGCUGUUUCCAGGGGCUGCAGAGCAUGGACUGUUAAAUCUUGCACUUCUUCUGAGUGAGGAAGACGAAGCAACCCCAGUGGAGACUCUGCCUCAAGGGCCUGACUGUGUAGCAGGAGGGAGACAGAAACAAACCCCAGAAUGCGUGAAAUCGCAAAGAAGAUUGGCAAUCAUUAAAAUGGGGAUAUGCUGUCUUUCAGCUGAAUUCUUGCCGCCAGGAUGGGGAAACAGAACAGCAAGCUGCGCCCGGAGGUCAUGCAGGACUUGCUGGAAAGCACAGACUUUACAGAGCAUGAGAUCCAGGAAUGGUAUAAAGGCUUCUUGAGAGACUGCCCCAGUGGACAUUUGUCAAUGGAAGAGUUUAAGAAAAUAUAUGGGAACUUUUUCCCUUAUGGGGAUGCUUCCAAAUUUGCAGAGCAUGUCUUCCGCACCUUCGAUGCAAAUGGAGAUGG
rnacentral:lncRNA from 1 species